UGAAAUAGGCAGUUUCCUAAUCCCUAUUUCAUGUUUACAGAUAGUUGAAUGCCGAAGGGUGCUGAAGUGGACGUAUGCAUAUGGAUAUUACUUGCCUGAGCAUGAACAUGCUAAAAAACAGUUUUUUGAGUACUUGCAAGGUGAGGCGGAAUCUGGUUUGGAGCGACUUCAUCAAUGUGCUGAAAAGGAACUACAGUUGUUCCUUAAUACUGAUGGCCCAUCUAAAGAAUUCAAUGACUUCCGCACAAAACUAGCUGGAUUGACCAGUGUAACUAGAAACUACUUUGAGAAUUUGGUUAGGGCUUUAGAGAAUGGUUUAUCUGAUGUGGAUAGUAAUGGAGCUGCUUCAAGCAAAGCGACAAGCUCUAAAAAUGCCGCAGGGAGCAGCAAGGGGAGAGGUCGAAGAGGAAAGGGAACUCUUCGGGCGAGCAUGGCUAGUAGUAGAAUGACCGAUGAUAAUCAUUGGUCCUGUGAGCAAUGUACCUAUGGAAAUGUGAAAUCUGCCACCAUGUGCCAGAUCUGCAACCAACAGCGCCGAUGAAAAUUCCGGCCCGCCUUUAGAAACCCCUGUACAUCUUGUAGACAAGGCCAAGGCACCAAUUUACUUCUUCUAGUUAUCAUAUGGUGGAUGGAUUUUGCAAGUCUAUUUUAAUGUGAACAGGAU